rnacentral:rRNA from 1 species
GACGAACCGUACGAACGUUAUUCGGAAUUACUGGGCUUAAAGGGUGCGUAGGCGGCGCAGUAAGUAGGGUGUGAAAUCCCUCGGCUUAACCGGGGAACUGCGUCUGAUACUGGACGGCUUGAGUUUGGGGAGGAGGACGCGGAAUUCCAGGUGUAGCGGUGAAAUGCGUAGAUAUCUGGAGGAACACCGGUGGCGAAGGCGGCGUCCCGUGGACCAACACUGACACUGAGGAGCGAAAGCCAGGGGAGCAAACGGG